CCGAGGGAGACGUGCUCUCAGGGGACGGUUUUGCCCCAGAGCCCUGUGAGCCCCGAGGUCGCAGGACGACGCCCUUCAGCCGCGAUUCGCCUGCGAAUGUCGCCUCUGACUCCGCCCAGAUGACGGGCGGCGAAGGGAAGCGGUCGGGGGCAAACAGCUCGGCCGUGCUGGCCACCCGGCCCCCAGCGUCCUCGCUCGGCUGUGAUGUCCCCAGCGCCGCCUGCACGGCCCGGAGGCACAGAGGUCCCGCUUCCAGGAGAUCUGUAAGUCUGAGGCUUCUCCCAUCACUUCAUACUGCAUUACGCUCUCUCCACAUUUUCCCCUAAACUUCGGCAGGAGUGGUUUUUACGCACCCCAUGGUGUGUAGCCGUCACCUGCUGAAGGACUCUCAGGUUCCACCAACAGUACACGUGGUGAACAAGUGACUGUUCGUGCUACUGAUUUCAAUUCUUUUGCAUGUAUGUCUGGAAGUGGAGUUACUGGGCCAUAUUCUUUUGAGAAACUGUCCCAGUUUUUCCCACCGCGGCUGCUCCGUUUCACAUCCCCACGAGCAGAGCACAGGGGCCCAGAGUCGCCACGCCCUCACCAGCUCCCACUUUCUCUGUUUUCAGUAGCGGCCGCCCUAGCAGGUGUGACGCGCUGUGGCGCUGCGGUUUUGAUUUUCAGUCUCCUAGUCUUUAGUGACGUUGAAACCUCAUGUGCUCACUGGCCAUUUGUAAAUGUUUGGAGAAAUGUUAAGUCAGGUCCUUUGCCCAUUUUUUUAAAUUGAGUUGGCCGUUGUUGUCGAGUUGUCAGUAAUAAUAUCUUCCCCACAGAUUUCCAAGUUCCCAGCUCUCUUUCUACCAUCUGUGCAGGAGAUGCGUUGGGCACAGGACGGCAGCCUCAUUUUGGAAGUAGAAUCUCUUUGGGGCGUAAAUUCCAGCCCUUCCCUCCGGCAUCAUCAUGCCUCUCAUUUCUGUGCCUUGGUGCAAAACCAGGGUCUGAUAAUAGUUUCCUCAUUCAUGAGUCAGUGUAUAUAAAUGUUCCCAGCGCUGAGGCUGGUACAUGGUAAGUGCUCGAUUAAUUUUAGUUGAAUCUGAAUCUGAAUUAUCUUUUUUGGUUAUUCUCUGAGUGAGCUAUAUUUCUGAAAGGAGGGGAAAAAAAGAAAUGCAAUUAUCUGACACAAGAUACGUUAACCGUGCUUUUUAUUCUGUAAUGCAAUAAUAAAGUGAAAGGCCAAGAUAAGUGAAUUUAAUAAAAUA